rnacentral:rRNA from 1 species
CACGGGGGGAGCAAGCGUUGUUCGGAAUCAUUGGGCGUAAAGCGCGCGUAGGCGGCCCGGUAAGUCCGCUGUAAAAGUCAAAGGCUCAACCUUUGAAUGUCAGUGGAUACUGCCGGGCUAGAGUCCGGAAGAGGCGAGUGGAACUCCUGGUGUAGCGGUGGAAUGCGCAGAUAUCAGGAAGAACACCGACGGCGAAGGCAGCUCGCUGGGACGGUACUGACGCUGAGGCGCGAAAGCGUGGGGAGCGAACAGG